rnacentral:rRNA from 5 species
ACGGCGAGUGAAGCGGCAAAAGCUCAAAUUUUAAAGCUGACAUCUUCGGUGUCCGCGUUGUAAUUUUGUGAGGCAUCUCCGGGUAGGGCGCCGGCCUAAGUUCCUUGGAACAGGACGUCACAGAGGGUGAGAAUCCCGUGCUUGGCUGGCUGUCCCCGUCCAUGUGAGGUGUCUUCGACGAGUCGAGUUGUUUGGGAAUGCAGCUCAAAAUGGGUGGUAAAUUUCAUCUAAAGCUAAAUAUUGGUGGGAGACCGAUAGCGCACAAGUAGAGUGAUCGAAAGAUGAAAAGCACUUUGAAAAUAGAGUUAAAAAGUACGUGAAAUUGUUGAAAGGGAAGCGCUUGAGACCAGACUUCGGUAAGGGGUGAUCAGCCGUCCUUCUGGGCGGUGCACUUGCCCCCCUCCGGGCCAGCAUCGGUUGAGGCGGCGGGAUAAAGGUCCCGGGAAUGUGGCUCCUUCACGGGAGUGUUAUAGCCCGGGUGAAUGCCGCCAGCUUCGACCGAGGACCGCACCCGCAAGGGUUAGGAUGCUUG